UACGUAGGUGGCAAGCGUUGUCCGGAUUUACUGGGUGUAAAGGGCGUGCAGCCGGGCCGACAAGUCAGAUGUGAAAUCCGCGGGCUUAGCCCGCGAACUGCAUUUGAAACUAUUGGUCUUGAGUACCGGAGAGGUCAUCGGAAUUCCUUGUGUAGCGGUGAAAUGCGUAGAUAUAAGGAAGAACACCAGUGGCGAAGGCGGAUGACUGGACGGCAACUGACGGUGAGGCGCGAAAGCGUGGGGAGCAAACAGG
rnacentral:rRNA from 1 species